rnacentral:snRNA from 1 species
UUGUUUUGGCAGCACAGUGAAACUGGAAGGAUUCAGAGAUCAGGAUGGCCCGUGUACUAAGAUGGCAUGUGAACUGGUGAAGAAUUGCAUAUUUUU